GAAGAGACAGCGCCGCCGGCCGUGGGGAGCGGACGCAGUGAUUUACUCCCCUCCCCUCAGCAACCCCCACACCCAGCACCAGGCCCCCAGGACUCUUCUUUCAGCUGAACUCCCUGGGAACAAGUCAGUUGAACUGACCACUGAACUCACAUUUCUGGACCCGAGGAGCCUAGUCCUCUCACAUCCUCACCUGGCUGAGCCGCAGUAGUUCUUCAGUGGCAAGCUUUAUGUCCUGACCCAGCUAAAGCUGCCAGUUGAAGAACUGUUGCCCUCUGCCCCUGGCUUCAAGGAUGAAGAGGAGGAGGAGUUGCUUUCUACAUCAUCUGGAAGGUGACAGACAUGGGGCUGGAAAGGUCUGAACAGCAGGAGUGAUGAUACCUUUUGGGAACAGAAACCUUGCUCGGUUGGAGAGCCUUCUCCUAGGCUGACCCAGCAAGGGAGCAGUUUUAGAUCAGAGACAUUGGCUGAAUUGGGGAAUAGAAGGCUUGAACAACACAAGGUUACUUGGUCUUUAUGCGACAAUGGGGAGUAGUGGAGAGAAGAAAACUAUCUACUUCUUUAUCCAGAUUUCCUUUUUGACCCUUCUUAUAUCCUAUUCUUUACUGAACUUUCCAGAUGAGGUACAAAAGUAAGUUUACUCUUCAGAGAAGAGAGUAGUCAUCCCUCUGCUCUUACUUUCCCUGUAUUUCCUUGGAGCACUCUAGAUUCAGGACGACUUACCUAGAUCUGGGACUCUUAGAUUUCCUAUCUCAGCUUCUCAACCUGUGAGAUGGGGAAUCACACAGAUGAGUGUGCAUGAAGGAAUCAGAGCCCCACCUGUGUAGACUCAGAGCCUGGGUUCUUUUCCCCCACA